CUGGCUUCCCUAUCACAUUCUCUGAUGCAUAAUGGCCCUGUACUGUUUGAGCUACAGCCCUCUUGAUGGGAAACUGUGUCAAGCAUAGGAGGAAUGCAAGAGUCUCGACCUGUCUGCUAGACUAAACAGAGACAAGGAAACAGAUGAAGAAAGUGAGGUUCGGAAGUGUGGGACCACUUAGCUCAAGGUCAUGAAGAGCAAGUCAACCGGAGAAGCUCAGAUCCCACCUAGGAGUUUGAUUGAAAAUCAGUGCUUUUUGGA